GACGAACGCUGGCGGCGUGCUUAACACAUGCAAGUCGAACGGAGCGAAUGAAAGCUUGCUUUUAUGAGCUUAGUGGCAAACGGGUGAGUAACACGUAGACAACCUGCCGACAGGAUGGGGACAACAUUCCGAAAGGAAUGCUAAUACCGAAUGAAGCGAAGGAGAGGCAUCUCUCUUCCGUGAAAGAUGGCCUCUUUUUAUGCUAUCACCUGUCGAUGGGUCUGCGUCUGAUUAGCUGGUUGGUGAGGUAACGGCUCACCAAGGCGACGAUCAGUAGCCGGUCUGAGAGGAUGAACGGCCACAUUGGGACUGAGACACGGCCCAGACUCCUACGGGAGGCAGCAGUGGGGAAUCUUCCGCAAUGGGCGCAAGCCUGACGGAGCAACGCCGCGUGAGUGAAGAAGGUCUUCGGAUCGUAAAGCUCUGUUGACGGGGACGAACGUGCGAGAGGUGAAUAAUCUCUUGUAAUGGCG
rnacentral:rRNA from 1 species